GAAGGGUUAACGGGAGGAAAAUUCUGGAACAUUCUAUUCUGCGGCGCUGCACAGCGAGCGAGCGAAGGGCUACGGACUGCGCAGAUGUUUAACGGGCAGAGGUCUUCGGCUCGGGGUCCGUCUUUCCCACAGAUCGAUCUUGGAAUAACUGUGCUCAUGCCCAGAGAGAGGUACCUUCCACAGCAGGGUGGACUAUCAGACCACCGCCUGCAAGGUCAUUCAGCUGUCUCACCAUCAGCCACUAACAGUGCUGCCUGACCUCAUGGACAUCCUGUAUUAGAUGCCCAAGCAAGCCACAGACUUUGGAAAGAACAGCAUCAGCUAUCAGAGAUUUCUCUUUCAUGAAAGGAAACUUGGAUUCCAGAGACAAAAAGGGCACUCUCCAGUUUGCACUGCUGAAAGUGCACAUCCUCACUGGUCCAUCCAGUCAGCCUCUAGUCUAACCAGCAGACCCUGCGUCAUCCUUGGAAGACGUCCAAGAGAAGACCAUAGCUGGUGGGGAUGAAGAGUGCCCACAAGGCAGAACAGAAGCCAUGGAGUCUGUUUGCUCCAAGACACAUUUUCUUAGAUCACCUUGAAUAUGGAAUGUGGUUAUUUCCUGACAAUUCUGAGGACUAGGCUGUGAGAUGUAUGGAAUCCUGAGUGCUAUGCCUUGUUGUCUUUCUGAGUGCAGGGUAACCAGGAAAUGCUUCAUGAUAGCAUUCUGCAAAAGGGUCUGGAGCAAUCUCCAAUCAACAGGACAUGUAAAGCAGUAGAAGAGUAAAGAGAGGACCUUAAUGAUUGUGGAUGAUGGUUACCAUACUGCAUGGUGCUAGCCAUAACUAUGGAUUCUGGAGGAGGAAGGUGAUGAGCAGAGUUUACUUUAGUGGAGAUCUUCAUGAAAAACCAGAAGGCACCGAGGGAAGCAAUGGUCGGGGUUGUUUUAAACAGCCUCCUUUUCAAUCUUGGUCCUGUAACUUCAGUGGAACGUAUCAGGAAUUUUCAUUAUCUGUUACAUAAAUUACUCUACACUUAGAACACUUUUCUGCAGAGCAGAAUGAGAUACCUAUUGUUAACCUGUAGACUGACUGACUUACUGACAUAGUUGGUAUAUUCUCUCCUGGUUGUACUUGAUACCAGCAGUCUCCCUGGACUAUCAGAAGUACAUUGUUUAACUCUUUGAUUCAUCUUUUCUUAAAAUUAUAUUUUUCAUUUAAUAACCCCUAGAUUUUUAGUUUCCAUGGGUAAUUUCUGUUCAAGCUUUUCAGAUUGUAUCUGCAGUGCAAACAAUCUCUUCUAUCAGGAUUUCUAAAUCACAUGUUGUAAACCUUCCUGUCGCAACUAAAUAAUACUGCACCAAGUCUAGCAUGAACUCCAUCGGCAGACCACUUUCUUGAUCCUGCUCCUGUUUUAACCCUCAUCUAUUCCUCCCGUUUCUCAGGUUCUUUAGGGAAUUGCUUUAGCAAAGAGGAGUGAAGACGUACAGCAGGAUCUAAAGAGGACAAGCACGAAAUUCUUAUUUCUUUCAGACGUGUGCUUCACACCCUAGGGCAGCUGUAAAGAAGGCACUAUCUCCCACUCCCUCAGGUUUAUUUUUGGGCUUUUUUUUUGGUGUUAAAUGGGCACAGGUGUAUCUUUAACAGAGGCAGGCAUUUAGGCUAGCUUGGGCUUGUUCUACUCGGCAACGAAAGGGUUCAUCUUUUCUCUCCCAAGCCCAAGUGAGUGGUUUGUGUUUAAAAGUGAUCCGCUGGGGGUGGUAUUUUUUAUUGCAACGUAGAUGAAAUGAACUGACAAUCUUAGUUUCAGGAUUUUGCAUUUCAGUGGUCUAAUCCUCAACUAAGGAGAUGUUUUUAAUGGCUGAAAAGGGGCUGGUGGAGUUCCAGCUGGAAAAUCACUGGGAGAAGAAUGGAAUUAUACAAAAUAAUGUUAGUAAUCAGGCCCAGUUAUAUAUGGCUCUUCAUUACUUCAGCUUUUAGCAAAUGAAACUGAGUGAUUCACCUCUAUUGGCAGAUUAGAUAGGAUAAUGGCAGCUAUUUUAAAAUAUAAAUUUCUAGGAAGUAACAGAAUAGGGAGACUUUUGGAACUCUGGGAAAUGUUAUUUUGGAAUGGCCCUAGGAGGAGUAUCCAAGCUGAAAAGCUAAGUGUUAUUUUAAACAUUAUUCAAAGCCAGUGUA